GUUGCAUGUUGAGAGUUCAUGCCCCAAAAUGAAUAAUACGAAGGAAAGAUAAAAAGAUGGAGAAAUAAAGACACAAUAGUUCACAUGCUUUAGAAUAUUGAGGAAUCAAUAACGUAUGCUAUUGCAGUAGCUUUAAAGAGAUUAUCAUUAUAAAUGCUUUGGGUUCCCUCAGUUUUGAAUUUAAACAACAAAUAUUUGUACAUCAGAAUCUAGUGCUUUUGAAUAUUUUACAUUCCAGCUGACAUUACGCUCCUUUCUCCCAUUACCCGUUUACCCAUGCCACCCCCCCGACACACCAGAAAAUAUAGCAAAUAAAAAUAUGAUUUUGACAGUUCUGUCAUUAGGAAUCAAUGAAGACAGUCACAAGAUAUUUCCUAGUAAGCUCUUGGACAGAGAAAGGAAAUGUAAUUAAGAUGUUGACUAAUUUAAUGACGUCUAUUCUCCAGAGCAUAUCCACUUUUACCGCUGUUGCUAUUUCCAGAUCCUAUUUUCCAGCCAGUGAUUUUUUUCAUGAGUUGUGAUAUUCACUUGAAACCUUAAUCAUUCUCAAAGAUCCAGCUCUAAAAUGGAAAUUAGGGCUUUUCCCUCCAUCUGAAACUCACUUGAAAGAACUAAAGCUGCUGUGUCAACUGCUUUCAAGAAUUAUAGAGGGCAAAGCAAGGGAAGAGCUUAAGAAUAAUGUAAAAGAUUUUUAUUCUAAAACACUGAUUACCUAGACUCUUCCUGUGGAAAUUUAAAUGCUGAAUUUUCAGAUCCUAGAUUGAAAUGAGAGCGAGAUACACAAUAUGGCCUUGGUAAGAAUAUCUAAUAAGGACUCUGCCAUCAUAAAAUGAAAUGUUGGUGGCAUCCAAAUAAUGCACUACAAAUUAAGUGGGAAGCAACAUUUUUAUGCCUAAAACUCAAAUUUAAAGGGUUCUAUUAAUUAAGGUACAAUUUGUGGUGAACGAUAUUUCAAUAAACUUGAUUGUUAAAUUCUAUUUUUAUCUAAUACUAUCUAUACACUUUUAUCUUUGUCCCUGGCUUUUUAAACAUAAUCCUUAUUCAGUCUCUAAUUGCAUCCUCAG
rnacentral:lncRNA from 1 species